UUCCAAAAACAUCGCCUUCUGAUACUCAUAGAAGGUCCAGCCUGCCCAGUGACUAAGUUAAACGGCCGCGGUACCCUAACCGUGCAAAGGUAGCGCAAUCACUUGUUCUUUAAAUGAGGACUAGUAUGAACGGCAUCACGAGGGUUACACUGUCUCCCUAUUCCAUUCAGUGAAACUGAUCUUCCCGUGAAGAAGCGGGAAUAUAAAUAUAAGACGAGAAGACCCCAUGGAGCUUUAAACUCAGUGUCAUCUGCCACCUCAAUACCCUCUUAAUUACGCAGACCAUGAUAACUAGUUUUCGGUUGGGGUGACCGCGGAGUAAAACAAAACCUCCACAACGAAAGGAACAAACAACCUAAUCCAAGAGCAACAUCUCUAAGAAUCAACAAAUUGACUUAAUUGAUCCAAUUACUUGAUCAACGAACCAAGUUACCCUGGGGAUAACAGCGCAAUCCAUUUCAAGAGCUCAUAUCGACAAAUGGGUUUACGACCUCGAUGUUGGAUCAGGGUAUCCCAGUGGCGCAGCAGCUACUAACGG
rnacentral:rRNA from 1 species